AGGAGAUGGAGUGGGCUGAAGCCUCGGGAGAGCGAAUGGAGGGAGGCGGUUAAUUUUCGUCCGAGCAUCCCUGCCUUGAGUGGUGAUGGCACCGAGGAGAGUUGCCGCUGUCCCUGAAAACUGCUUUCCCAGAAGAAGCCAAAAGCCUGCUUGUAAUCCUGACAACGCCCAGCUACCUACCUACAGCUGACUCCAACUCCCAGUUUGCACCGCGCAGAGGGGGUCAAAGGGCAAACGGGAGUGUAGCGCAUUCUGGGAACAAGAAUCGCAAUGAUUCUGA